GUCCUGUUGUAUUAUUUAAUAGGUCUGGCCUGCCCAGUGAUAUAAUUUUAACGGCCGCGGUAUAUUGACCGUGCAAAGGUAGCAUAAUCAUUAGUCUUUUAAUAGAAGGCUGGAAUGAAAGGUUUAACGAGAAAUUUACUGUCUCAUUUACAAAUUUGAACUUAUCUUUUGAGUCAAAAGACUUAAAUAUAAUUGAUGGACGAGAAGACCCUAUAGAGCUUAACAGUUUUCUUUUUAUAUUUAUUUAGUAAAAUUAUUUAUAUAUAUAAAUAAAAUUGUUUUGUUGGGGUGACAAUAAAUAUAUAUUUAACUUUUAUCAUAUUGUAAACAUUAAUUUAUGAUUUUUGGAUCCAAAAAUUUUGAUCAAUAGAUUAAGUUACC
rnacentral:rRNA from 1 species